UCGAUUAGCAUUUGUUUAACAAGC
rnacentral:siRNA from 1 species